UUCUUCUCCAACACAGCCAAAAAUUGUACUGGGCCUGAGAUAUUUGUGAGCCCUGUUUGAUUUAAAGCUGUUAGAAAGCAUGCCAAACAUUUUAAGUUUUUACUCCCAUAGUUGUUGUAAACCGGGCAGAACCUGUCUGUUACGAAGAGUGCACUGCCCUCUAGAGGUUCCCAUUGGGAGGAGCACAUCAAAUCCACAGUGUUAAGGCAUUCUGCAGUUUCUUGUGAGGUGUUGCUGUAGACCUUUACUAUUACUGUUCUUUGUCACAAACAUGCUUUUCCAGAUAUCUAAUUCUGAGUCACACAUUUUUAAUUUACUUUGGAAUAGUAUUUUGGGGUAAAGCACGUGAUGAACCUCAAAACACUCAAUUUGGAGUCAGGAGACAUGACUUUUAGUUCCAGUUCUUCCUUUAAUAUCUGAGAACUUAAAUUUCACGUCUGUUAAUCAUGUAGUAGAAGAUCACACUUCAAAACUGUGAAUCACUAGAAAGCAUAUUUUGGGAGUAAAACUGUGAAGAGUUUCAUAAAUUCAGUAAAUAUUUAAUAUGCAAGAUCUUAGGAUAAGAGCUGUUUUGCCGAAGUUAGGAGUUUACAUUUGAUCUUUACAAUGUUAGAUGAAAAGUUUUUUUUUUAAAGGCACUUGGGAAACAUUCGGGCUUGCAAUUUAAGUGGAUGAAUUUAACCCCGAUGCCAUGGAACCUUGAAGUUGAAACUGAGCUAAAACAACACAAAACUUACUUUGAUUCCAAGAGUCUUCCGACAUGAGAGUGGAAAUUAGUCACACAACCACACACACACACACACACACACACACACCUUAAUAUGCCAUUAAGCUCUGAUGCAAACCCCAUUUAGCCUGGUUUUUCCUUUCCUAUUUUCAAUCAAGAAAGAAAAAAAGGAAGUCUUUCAUUUAAUGGGCCAGAGGAUCUACCACCACAGAACCAUUCUAGAUGUCAAUUCCUGGUAAGAAAUGAUUGGGAGUUAACAGAAGAACCACAGAGAGGUAGAGUUUGCUAUGUUUAUAUUUGCAUUGAAGUUAUUUUAAAAUAUUAGUUUAUCCUCCUGCACAUACUAUUUUUAUUUUAUAGCAUACAUGGAAUCUAUAUGUUUGAUUCUAUAGCGUAAAUUCCUUUCUUCUCAAUCAGCCUUUUUGGCCGCUUUGUUAAAGAUCACAGUGUAGCCACAUGAAGGAAAACCACUCGAAUCUGGGUUAGUCCUAUCCAUGGUGACAGUUAUUACCUGACUGCCAGUGCUGGGAUUGGAUAGAUCAGGUAUAUAUAGCAGCCUGUCUUACAGAAUGGUGUCUGAACAGGACCAUUUCUGGUUCAAUGUAGCCUUCCUUGGUUUUAACCUGUAUCACAUGGGCUUGUCUAAAAGGAACAAUAUCCCUUAAUACUGAAAAUUUUCUAACACAGCAAUUGUCAAAUUAUCAUCGACAUACCCCUGGGGGUCCUGAUUAUCUUUAAAGGGUGUCUGCAAAGUCAGCAUGAUUUACCUAGUAAUCCUGACACGAAUUUGAGCUUUCAAAUGAAAUUAAAGUUUCAGAAAACUUUUAUCCACUACCUGAGAUUGAUAGCUUCUUAAUACUUAGAGAUUUUAUUAUGAAAUUGGGAAUGUUAACUAAUGCAAUUUAAAAAAUAUCAUAUGAUAAAAUGUGUCGAUAUUUGGAACAUCUGUAUAACUCAGUGAAUCAAUAUUGUCCAAAUAGCAAUGCAUGGGGUUACAAAAUUAUGCAUGGAUAAAAGCUCUAUUCAAAGUUCAAGACAGACCAAUGGAUUUUAAGUUAAGAGAGCACAAAAAGUUUAUUGGUCUAGUUUCAUAGUCCACAUCUUUUAAAAAAACAACUUGUUGAAUCUUGGUGUAUCACAGAAGAGUAUCCACAACUACGUUCCUUCCUUUUUCAAACAUAUCUAUGUGUAGCUCCCUUUUCUUCAUGUACUUCAACCAAAAUAUCAUUUUGCAGCAGGUUGAAUGCUGAAAAAUAUAGCAGGAUCCAGCGUUCUUCUGUUAAGCCAGACACUGAAGAGAUUUGCAGAAAUAUAAAACAAUGCAAUUCUUCUCAUUAACAUUUUUUGGAAAUGUAAUUAUUUUUUAUAAAAGUAUGUUAUUUAUGUCAAUAU
ensembl:lncRNA